UACGAAGGGGGCUAGCGUUGCUCGGAAUCACUGGGCGUAAAGCGCACGUAGGCGGAUUGCUAAGUCAGGGGUGAAAUCCCGGGGCUCAACCCCGGAACUGCCUUCGAUACUGGCGAUCUCGAGUCCGGAAGAGGUUAGUGGAAUUCCCAGUGUAGAGGUGAAAUUCGUAGAUAUUGGGAAGAACACCAGUGGCGAAGGCGGCCAUACGUGCCGGUACGUGACGCUGAGGUGCGAAAGCGUGGGGAGC
rnacentral:rRNA from 1 species